rnacentral:rRNA from 1 species
UCUAAGUACCCCGAGGAAAAGAAAUCAACCGAGAUUCCCCCAGUAGCGGCGAGCGAACGGGGAGCAGCCCAGAGCCUGAAUCAGUAUGUGUGUUAGUGGAAGCGUCUGGAAAGGCGCGCGAUACAGGGUGACAGCCCCGUACACAAAAAUGCACAUGCUGUGAGCUCGAUGAGUAGGGCGGGACACGUGGUAUCCUGUCUGAAUAUGGGGGGACCAUCCUCCAAGGCUAAAUACUCCUGACUGACCGAUAGUGAACCAGUACCGUGAGGGAAAGGCGAAAAGAACCCCGGCGAGGGGAGUGAAAAAGAACCUGAAACCGUGUACGUACAAGCAGUGGGAGCACGCUUAGGCGUGUGACUGCGUACCUUUUGUAUAAUGGGUCAGCGACUUAUAUUCUGUAGCAAGGUUAACCGAAUAGGGGAGCCGAAGGGAAACCGAGUCUUAACUGGGCGUUAAGUUGCAGGGUAUAGACCCGAAACCCGGUGAUCUAGCCAUGGGCAGGUUGAAGGUUGGGUAACACUAACUGGAGGACCGAACCGACUAAUGUUGAAAAAUUAGCGGAUGACUUGUGGCUGGGGGUGAAAGGCCAAUCAAACCGGGAGAUAGCUGGUUCUCCCCGAAAGCUAUUUAGGUAGCGCCUCGUGAAUUCAUCUCCGGGGGUAGAGCACUGUUUCGGCAAGGGGGUCAUCCCGACUUACCAACCCGAUGCAAACUGCGAAUACCGGAGAAUGUUAUCACGGGAGACACACGGCGGGUGCUAACGUCCGUCGUGAAGAGGGAAACAACCCAGACCGCCAGCUAAGGUCCCAAAGUCAUGGUUAAGUGGGAAACGAUGUGGGAAGGCCCAGACAGCCAGGAUGUUGGCUUAGAAGCAGCCAUCAUUUAAAGAAAGCGUAAUAGCUCACUGGUCGAGUCGGCCUGCGCGGAAGAUGUAACGGGGCUAAACCAUGCACCGAAGCU